CCGGAGAAAGUCGAGCUUGUUAAGAAAGUUUCCAAUAGGCCCUUCAGGGCAAUACUGAACAAUGAUGAAUAAUUUGCUUGGAUGACCACCAGUAACAGCAUGAUAUUCAAACGACCAUAGAGGGGGAGCAGACGAGCCUAGCACACAAAGAGACUCAACCAAAGACUAUGGACAGUAUAGAGGUGCUGAUUCACCGACCUACGUCUUUUUAGACUGUGGGAGGAAACUGGAGUACCCAACGGAAAGUCAAAGACCUGGAACCCUCCACACGUUAAACACAUGCUAACAAGGCCAGGCAGUUAAGUGUAAAUAUCCCGAACAACGACGGCUUCAUAUGUCAGCAGGAAGAAAAAUAUGCAUGGAGAUCUGAACCAGGAUACAGUUGAGCUGUUUUAUUCGUCGCUGAGGGCUAAAAUUCAUCUCGAUUUCUGCUUCUAUCAGGCAAUGAGGCAUCUUCACUCCUUUAAGGCAAUUUGGUGGUUCAGAGAUACCGUUCGUUCUGUUGGGGGAGGGUUGCGGAGGGGUGCGGAUGAUCCUGGGUGACAGGUGAAGUGUUUUUUAUUGGCUUUUGUUUUCCGUUUCCGUCAGUGAGCUGGAUGUGUGGUUUGUAGCCUUUGAUUCACAAAAUGAAGAUGUUAAAAGCUGUAUAUAAGGGGAGACGAGUGAUCAGUGUCAACCCCUCCCCCCCCCAAAGAAAAUAUGUGCUGAACCAAGAAUGAAAAACUAGCCCUGUCAGAUAUCACUGAACCAUCGAAAUGAAAUAAAUAAACAAGCAUGCGGUUGACGUGCCAUUAAGAUGUCUACAAGACUCUCACACUCGCCUGCAGCUCCUGGGUCCUACUUUCUACAGCAAAGAAGCCCAAGCGCUUCCGGGCCUAGACUUCGCAUCUCCUCACUCCGAUCAGCUCCUCUCUUCUUCUGCUGUUCACCCUGCUGUUGAAUGAGCUGAUCAGUUACCCAGGUCUGGAUUUUUUUCCUGGAUCUUUCUGUAAAUAUAAAUAUAUGUAUAAAACAUUCAUGGUGUGCAAGUUUGCAAGCGAUGUAUUCCUGUGCUGAACCGAGGAUAUUUUUGAUUCUGCACACUUCUCAUCACUGCUCCAUAUAUACAGAUCACAUAUAAAUGGAGUGAAUAUAUGCAUG